CUCCCCAGUGGAACUGAGAGAGGAUUUUUCGCUGGUAUUUUCAGUGGAAAUUUUGUUGAGCUCCUGGAGUUUCCUUUUACAUCAAGACUGCAGAAAAUGAUUCCUGCCUCCUUCUGACCUCUAUAUAUUAAGACCCAGCGACAAAAGAAUAGAAAAAGGGAGGUGAGAGAAAUCAGUGAUAGUG